GGCUCGUUGGUCUAGGGUAUGAUUCUAAGCUUAGAGUGCGAGGUCCCGAGGUUCAAAUCCUGGACGAGCCC